rnacentral:rRNA from 1 species
CAGCAGUCAAGAAUAUUAGUCAAUGGCCUAACGGCCGAACUGGCAACUUAGGGAAACGAUAGAUGAUUAUUAAAUAUAGUUUUGUCUAUAUAUUGAUUAUGACAAUAUAUAUAAAUAGUCUUGACUAAUUACGUGCCAGCAGUCGCGGUAAUACGUAAGAGACGAGUGUUAUUCAUCUUAAGUAGGUUUAAAGGGUACCUAGACGGCUAGAAUGACUUUAAGUAAGGUAGUAUUUAGCUAGAGUUUUAUAUAAGAAGUACAGUACUUUUAGGUGGAGAGUUGAAAUUCUGUGAUACUCUAGGGACUGGUAAAGGCGAAGGCAGUCUUUUAUGUAAAAACUGACGUUGAAGGACGAAGGCACAGAGAACGAACAGGAUUAGAUACCCUAGUAGUCUUUGCAGACAAUGAUGAAUGCCAUAGAUUAGAUAAUUAAUUUGGUCUAUAAAUGAAAGUGUAAGCAUUUCACCUCAAGAGUAAAGUGGCAACGCUGGAACUGAAAUCACUAGACCGUUUCUGACACCAGUAGUGAAGUAUGUUAUUUAAUUCGAUAAUCCGC